rnacentral:rRNA from 1 species
GUAGUCCACGCCGUAAACGAUGGAUACUAGCUGUUCGGUAGCAAUACUGAGUGGCUAAGCGAAAGUGAUAAGUAUCCCACCUGGGGAGUACGAACGCAAGUUUGAAACUCAAAGGAAUUGACGGGGGCCCGCACAAGCGGUGGAGCAUGUGGUUUAAUUCGAUGAUACGCGAGGAACCUUACCAGGGCUUAAAUGUAGUCUGACAGGUCUGGAAACAGAUUUUCCUUCGGGCAGAUUACAAGGUGCUGCAUGGUUGUCGUCAGCUCGUGCCGUGAGGUGUCAGGUUAAGUCCUAUAACGAGCGCAACCCCUGUUGUUAGUUGCCAGCGAGUCAUGUCGGGAACUCUAACAAGACUGCCAGUGCAAACUGUGA